UAAAGCGCGCCGCGAGGUGGGAGGCGGAAGAGAGGCCGGGCCCGGCCGAAGGGUGUGACCCGCGGGUGGCGGCGCGCGAAAUUAGGAAAAUGAGGUUCAUGGACAUUUGAAUCCGCUAUGGCUUGAAGAGUGUUCCAUCUACAAUGCAUAUGUUCAAGUCCGAAACCCCAGUUCCUGGGAAUGCGACCUGGUUGGAAGUGAGGUUUUACAACCGUAAUUCGUUAAGCUGAGGUCAUCCUGGAUUAGGCUGGGCCCCUCAACCACUAUGGCUCCUGUCCUUACCCAAAGAGGAAACCUGGACACACACGCACAGGAUAAGGCCAGAUUUUCAGGGAGAAGUACUGGCGUGGCUUCCUCUCCUGGAUAUCCAAGGGCAAACGUCUUGCAAAUAUCAUGGCCAAGCUGGAAGACAUCAGUUUCCAGCACAUUGCACUGGCACAUCCUUCUGCAUCUCUUCUGAGAGAUCAUGAUCCCUUCGUUGGUUAAGCCACUGCGAGACAUGCAAAGUGGACUGGGGAGCAGCAUACGCCAUCAACUGGAACAACUUGGGAGCCAACAGGUUCUGCUGAGCGAGGAUGAUCACCUGCACUCGGGGACCUGCAAAUGACGGGUCCAGGCAGCAACCACCCUGCCCUGUCACGAUGCCACCUGAUUUCUUUUAAGUCUCUACGGCUGUCACUUGGAGCCUUGCUUUCCUCCCAGGUUUCAUUGCCCACACGUGACAUCGCGUUGGUGCAAGAGACUAUGACCACUGCACAGAACAUAAAAGAAGAUGCUUUCUCCCAGACAAGUCUCUGGAAGGUUACCAGUAUGCCCCCAAGUUCUCUCCAAAGCAUACAAGUCCUUGCAUGUCAGUAUUGCAAAGACAUAGGUCAGUCUUUGCAAAAUUCCAAAGAAGCAGAAAUGGUUGCGUCUCAUUUCCAGUGGCUAUGGACUGACUUCGUUAUCUGUAAUUGGCGUUACAAGAAAGGGCAUCAGGGGAAGAACUGGGACUGAGGACAGAUACAGCGCUUCUCACCAACUUCCAGAAAGGACUCACCUGUCAAAAGAAGGCAGACUCUCCCGCCUGGCUUCUGGGGUCCAGCAGACACUCAUCCUGUCCAACCCUACGCCCACCUUUCUUCUCUACCUUUGUCAAGAUUUCUUUGGAUACAAAAAAAAAUCCAGAAACCUGAGAUUUGGGGCAAGUCUCCCAAUUUUUGGAACACUGGCAACAAAUUCUCAAAACACUGAGGGCAGAACCAUACAAGAUUGGUGGACCUGAUGCAGCGAGACUGCCUCCUUUGAGAGAGAAGAUUGGAGAAGGACCAGGAAGGAAGAGAAGAAAUAUUUCUGAGGAGAGAGGACACUUUGCCAGUGACCCUCCGCUAACCAACCAGAGAAUUCAGCCCAGCAGGAAAGAGUGGUAAAGACCACCGUUCUGGACACGCUGAACAUGCCAGCCCUGCGGAGGUAGGACGAUGGGCUCAGGAUAAGAAAUGAAGCAUUCCGGUGAAAUUCCUGCAGCGCUAUCCCUCCCCUGCAUGGGCCCUGGGAAGCUGAAGAUGGAGAGCUAUCUGAGGGACAGUCAGCGCCCCAGUUCCCGCUAAUGCAAUGUGACCAGUGUCAGGCAUGGGCAUGUGGGUGCCAGCUCUGAAAAUGGAGGGGUAGAUUCUGUUUGGGAGGCUGGGAGGCCAAGAUGAGGAAAUUAACAAACUCUUCUGGAAGAAUGACUCAUUCUCUCUGUGACCUUGGGCCAAUUACUCCAUGCCCUUAUCUUUUAAAUGGAGAUUAGAGAACAUCCUUUGGAAAGCUGAUGUGCAUAUUAAAUGAAAAGUUGAAUUAGGAACUGUGU